AGAGUUUGAUCCUGGCUCAGAGUGAACGCUGGCGGCGUGGAUUAGGCAUGCAAGUCGAGCGAUCCUUCGGGAUAGCGACAAACGGGUGAGUAACACGUAAAUAAUCUUCCCUGAAGUCGGGCAUAGCAUCGUGAAAACGGUGGUAAUUUCCGAUACGGUAUCGACCACAUAGGUGGAUGAUAUUAAAGGCUGGGACCUUCGGGCCAGUCGCUUUUGGAUGAGUUUGCGUCCUAUCAGCUUGUUGGUGAGGUAACGGCUCACCAAGGCUUAUGACGGGUAGUUGGUCUGAGAGGAUGUCCAACCACACUGGGACUGAGACACUGCCCAGACUCCUACGGGAGGCUGCAGUCGAGAAUCUUUAGCAAUGGACGAAAGUCUGACUAUGCGACGCCGCGUGCAGGAUGAAGGCCUUCGGGUUGUAAACUGCUUUUAUAAGGGGAGAACUCUCUUAAGUUAAUAGCUUAAGAGCUGACGGUACCUUAUGAAUAAGCCACGGCCAACUCCGUGCCAGCAGCCGCGGUAAUACGGAGGUGGCGAGCGUUACUCGGAAUCAUUGGGUGUAAAGGGCAAGUAGGCGGCUAGAUAAGUGAGGGGUGAAAUCUCCCGACUCAAUCGGGAAACUGCCUUUCAAACUGUCUGGCUUGAGAUUGGAAGAGGGAAAUGGAAUUAGCAGUGUAAGGGUGAAAUCUGUAGAUAUUG
rnacentral:rRNA from 1 species